GAGGGUAUAGCUCACGUGGUGGAGCACAUGCUUAGUGUGCAGGAGGUCCUGGGUUUGAUCCCCACUACCCCUU
rnacentral:tRNA from 1 species